UAGCAUCUAUAAAGCAAAGAGGGAUUUAAGUUGACUUUUUCUCAGGUCCUAAAUGUCUCAGGCAGGAAGAUCGCAGGGUUUGGACAAGGCUGGAUGUCUCUCUGCCUGGAGUGUGUUUUCAGUAGGGCUGUCUCAUUCCUUAGGGGCAGAAUGACCCUCUGACAUGGUCCACCGCCCAGAUGAUCAAACAACAUCUUAACCUCUGAGAUGAAAGACAGAAUUCACACCAAAGAGGUCUCCUGGUAGAACAAAUAGAAUAUGUGACUAAAACCAAUGGCAUACUUCAGAUUUUACUAUAAAGACAAAUAAGGAAUCCAAGCAUAUAGGUAUGAAUUCCAGCACGUGAUUAUCUAAAAUCCAGAGAUUCUAACAUAAGAGAUACAUUAGAGGUAAGUUAUUAUUGUAAAGAAGGAACCUUCCUUUAAAGUCGUAGGAUUAAAAAUCUGUCCAAGAUUAGAAGGAAGUGUUAGAAACACAAUCUUGUAGUAGAAGGAUGCCUGCAUAAGCAGUUCCUGAGUUCUCCCCCAAAAGCUGCUUCCCCUUUCAGAUUCUCGCGCUUGGAUUCCUGUUGCCAAAGCCAAUUAGACGUGAUGUUCCACCUAGUUAAAUCUUGCUCUUGAGUGAA